CACCUGUGUUUGCACGGCCGGGGCUUCAGACCACACUCGUUCAGGUCUGGAGGGAGAGAAAGAGAGGAAUCAGAAGGAGGUAGCGUGGGGACGGAGAGGAAGGAGAAAGGGAGGGAGGAGAAUGGGAGGGAGGAGAAUGGGAGGAAUCAGAAGGAGGUAACGUGGGGGACGGAGAGGAAGGAGAAAGGGAGGGAGGAGAAUGGGAGGGAGGAGAAUGGGAGGGAGGAGAAUGGGAGGAAUCAGAAGGAGGUAACGUGGGGGACGGAGAGGAAGGAGAAAGGGAGGGAGGAGAAUGGGAGGGAGGAGAAUGGGAGGGAGGAGAAUGGGAGGAAUCAGAAGGAGGUAACGUGGGGGACGGAGAGGAAGGAGAAAGGGAGGGAGGAGAAUGGGAGGGAGGAGAAUGGGAGGAAUCAGAAGGAGGUAGCGUGGGGGACGGAGAGGAAGGAGAAAGGGAGGGAGGAGAAUGGGAGGGAGGAGAAUGGGAGGAAUCAGAAGGAGGUAGCGUGGGGGAUGGAGAGGAAGGAGAAAGGGAGGAAGGAGAAAGGUAGGGAGGAGAAUGGGAGAGAGGAGAAUGGGAGGAAUCAGAAGGAGGUAGCGUGGGGGACGGAGAGGAAGGAGAAAGGGAGGGAGGAGAAUGGGAGGGAGGAGAAUGGGAGGGAGGAGAAUGGGAGGAAUCAGAAGGAGGUAACGUGGGGGACGGAGAGGAAGGAGAAAGGGAGGGAGGAGAAUGGGAGGGAGGAGAAUGGGAGGAAUCAGAAGGAGGUAGCGUGGGGG